CUCUCUCUCUCUCUCUCUCUCUCUCUCUCCUUCCUUUGUAGAACCUUUACCCAACAUGAGGCACGCCAGUGCAACAGACACUCAAAAGCAAGAAGAAGGCCAUAGAUAGCUUUUUGCAACACACGUCGGUGUUGGUAGAGCUAAAAAGAAUCUCCCCACUUUUAUAUUCAAUCUCUAACCUUCCUAUUUUACACUCUUCUUUCUUUGCUUGUUAUCCCCAAAUACCCUCUCUCUCAAACAAGUAUCAUGUGGCCAUGGUUCUUUCCUGUUGCAACCGAUCGCCGGCCGACACAUCGGAGGAUCAUCGCAAAUUCUAGAUGAAGCAUGCAUCCCAAGUCCCAUCAGAAUGAGAAUUUUACUAGAAAAUGGAUCAAAUAGGAGGUAUUGGCGUGCCUCAAUUUGAUAACAUGGUUAGAUGCUAUACUAGCCAUGUGAUUGGAUUGAGCCGCGUCAAUAUCUCCUACCUAUUCCUCCUCCAACUCAAACACAAGGUGUGCAAUUUCCAAUUGCCUGCUUAUCAUCCAUCACACUCUACCAGAGUAUCAAAACUUUCUCUAUAUGCUAAUCCGACACAAGUGUGAGAAAUCCAAGCCAAACGUUCUGUAGCGGCUGACUAUGAACAUGGGCUGGCCUAUAAUUCAGGCCAGGCCACACAUCACGUGGGACAGACUCGUGCGAGGAAAAUGAACGGUUGGGAUGAAGAUGGACUCAUUUGUGGAAAGUAGCAGCGGUUAGAGGAGCCAUAAAGUGAAACGUCAGAGGGACCACACUCAAUUACAAAAGCCAUAUGCUUUCGAUGCGCAUUAAUUCCCAGCCGAACAAAAACUGGUACACUGCCAUCCCAUCCACAUCCAUGCCCUGUACCGUCUCCAUUUCCAAUCCCUAUCCUUUUAAUCUGGCCCACCAUAUGUAGACUGUAUUUGGGUUUUCAGUUUUUACAAGUGGGGCCCACUUUUGGGUCAUCCAGAUGAGUUGUAUGUUGGGUCCCACUCUGAUGGAUCCUAUCCACAAAAUUUGGACCUUUUCUC